UGCCAGCCGCCGCGGUAAUACGGAGGGUGCGAGCGUUAAUCGGAAUUACUGGGCGUAAAGCGCACGCAGGCGGUUUGUUAGGCUAGAUGUGAAAGCCCCGGGCUCAACCUGGGAUGGUCAUUUAGAACUGGCAGACUAGAGUUUUGGAGAGGGGAGUGGAAUUCCAGGUGUAGCGGUGAAAUGCGUAGAUAUCUGGAGGAACAUCAGUGGCGAAGGCGGCUAGCUGGGCCGGGUCUGACACUGAACCGCGAAAGCGUGGGGAGCAAACAGGAUUAGAUA
rnacentral:rRNA from 1 species